rnacentral:rRNA from 1 species
CCUUCACUCUGGGACAAGCCCUGGAAACGGGGUCUAAUACCGGAUAUCACUUCCGCAGGCAUCUGCGGGAGUCGAAAGCUCCGGCGGUGAAGGAUGAGCCCGCGGCCUAUCAGCUUGUUGGUGAGGUAAUGGCUCACCAAGGCGACGACGGGUAGCCGGCCUGAGAGGGCGACCGGCCACACUGGGACUGAGACACGGCCCAGACUCCUACGGGAGGCAGCAGUGGGGAAUAUUGCACAAUGGGCGAAAGCCUGAUGCAGCGACGCCGCGUGAGGGAUGACGGCCUUCGGGUUGUAAACCUCUUUCAGCAGGGAAGAAGCGAAAGUGACGGUACCUGCAGAAGAAGCGCCGGCUAACUACGUGCCAGCAGCCGCGGUAAUACGUAGGGCGCAAGCGUUGUCCGGAAUUAUUGGGCGUAAAGAGCUCGUAGGCGGCUUGUCACGUCGGGUGUGAAAGCCCGGGGCUUAACCCCGGGUCUGCAUUCGAUACGGGCAGGCUAGAGUGUGGUAGGGGAGAUCGGAAUUCCUGGUGUAGCGGUGAAAUGCGCAGAUAUCAGGAGGAACACCGGUGGCGAAGGCGGAUCUCUGGGCCAUCACUGACGCUGAGGAGCGAAAGCGUGGGGAGCGAACAGGAUUAGAUACCCUGGGUAGUCCACGCCGUAAACGGUGGGAACUAGGUGUUGGCGACAUUCCACGUCGUCGGUGCCGCAGCUAACGCAUUAAGUUCCCCGCCUGGGGAGUACGGCCGCAAGGCUAAAACUCAAAGGAUUGACGGGGGCCCGCACA